AGCCAGCAGGCCCGGGGCUGGCCUGGCCCUGCCGCUUCCCUUGGCAGCACUCAAGACCAGGGGGAGGGGGGGUCCUGGGCCAAGUGGGGUCUGCCAGGCCAUUCCUGCAGCCCUACCCCACCCCACCCCACCUGACUGGGACCCCUGCCUCCCAUCUGAGAGGACAGCUCUCUUCCUGAAGCUGGAAUCUGUCGCUUGCUGGUACCAACAGCAGAUAUCAGAGACUCUGGGCCCUUUGUCGUUCUCUCUUUGUUAAAAAAAAAAAAAAAAAGGAGGUCCCUAAGUGGGUGGCAAUUUUUUGGACUCCAAAAAGCUGGCUGAGAUUGUCAGAUGUUUGGAGGCAGCAGGCUGAGAGCACAAAUUCUGGAGUCUGGCUUUCUGGGCUUGAAUUCUGGUUCUGCCACGACUGGCUGUGUGACCUUAGGAGGACAUGUGGCUGGAGCUCUGCAGCCAUCUUGCACCAUGAAGAUAAAGACCUCAUGGUGAUGAAAGAACAGUAGCUGGAAGGAGCCUAGGUUCCUGAGGACUGCUAUGGGGAAGCACAGCCAUCCUAACAUGACACUGCCUACAUCGGGACUUUCACAGAACUGUGGAAUAAUCUACCUUGCUUAAGCUACUAUUAUUUUGUACCUUGGCUACUCAUGGACAAACUAAACCCUAUCUGAUAUGCACAUUAUUACUGCUUCCGUGUGGUAUUUUACUGGAGGCCCUAACAAUGCAAUAAAACAGGAAAGUAAAAACAGAUAUAAUAAGAGAAUUUAGCAAGAUUACUGGAUACAUUUUUAAUAUAUUAAAAGCAUUUUGGUUUUAAUAUUUUGAAAAUGUAACAUCAAAAAUGAGAAGACUCAGUUUUAAAAACUACUUACAAUAGCAAUAAUGAUUAUAAAUUAUCUAAGAAUGAAUCUAACAAAAGACUUUGGAUGAUUAAAAUUAUCUAACUUUAUCGAAAAACUUAAAAGCAGACCUAUAUAAAUGAAGAUUUAUAUUAAUGUGUCGUACUCACGGCAGAGGGAUUUAUUAUAUAGAGACGUCAAUUCUUCCCAAAUUAAUAAAUUCAAUGAAGUUUUAAUUAGAAGCCCAAUAGGACAAAGGCACUUAGCUCAGUACUUGGCAAAUUGCAAACACUCAAAAUAUGGUAGCUGCUUUUACUGAAGUCCAGUGGAGGAGAUCAAUAUGCCACUGGUCUCUAACCUUUGUUCUGUUCUAUUCAGCAUCAUCCUAAACUUUACGUAAAUGAACAAAGAGAAUAGGCAAGAUGGUUUUUAAAGAACAACUACACUAUGAGAAGGACACGCUGUACAAUAUAUAAAGUUACAGGUACACUGCCAAGGAUGGUAGAUACCAGCCACAUGUGACCACUGGCUUUGGAAAUGUGGCUGGUUCCCAUUAAGGUGUGUUGUCCGUAUAAAACACACAUCAUAUUUUGAGACUAUGUAUUAAAAAAGAACAAAAUAUAUCUCAUUAUUUUUUAUUGAUUAGAUGUUGAAAUUAUAUAUAUAUGAGCAA